ACGGCUUCAAGUUUUCGGACGAGAAGCCGUGGAGGAGAGUGGCGAAAGGGUGAGUAGCGCGUGGGUAACCUGCUCCUAAGUUGGGGAUAACCCCGCGAAAGCGGGGCUAAUACCGAAUGUGGUUUUCCGUCGCAUGACGGGAUGACUGAAGGUGGGGAUCCUUCGGGACCUGCCGCUUGGGGAGGGGCCCGCGUACCAUCAGCUUGUUGGUGGGGUAACGGCCCACCAAGGCUCACGGUUAGCUGGUCUGAGAGGAUGGUCAGCCACACUGGGACUGAGACACUGCCCAGACUCCUACGGGAGGCUGCAGUCGAGGAUCAUUGGCAAUGCGCGAAAGCGUGACCAUGCGACGCUGCGUGGGGGAUGAAGGCCUUCGGGUUGUAAACUCCUGUCAUCCGGGAAAAACGAUUCCGUGCUGAUAAGGCAUGGGAAGUGAUGGUACCGGAAGAGGAAGCCACGGCUAACUCUGUGCCAGCAGCCGCGGUAAUACAGAGGUGGCAAGCGUUGUUCGGAUUUA
rnacentral:rRNA from 1 species